CUCUUAAUCGUCGUCUUCAUCGUCGUCGUCAUCGUCCUCGUCCUCUGGGUCUCGCUUUCUCUUCUCUCCUUUGCCAGUUUCUGCUUCUGGGGACAAAGAGGAAAUCAUGCGUCAUGUGGCGUAUCAGGUGAAAGGGUGUGUUCAAACAAAAGGUAAUGCCACAUACCGUCAUCAUCUUCAUCCUCAUCCUCAUCCUCAUCCUCGACUUCCCCAUCCUGACCGAAAUCUUCCUCCUUGUCCUCCUCCUCUCCAUCCUCGUCUUCCUCCUCCUCUCCCUCUGUAACCACAAACAAAGUGGAGUCAUGCUGUGACCAAAGUCCAACACUUAACGACACCGUUACACCAGGAACCGGAAGAACUUCUUACC